GACGAACGCUGGCGGCGUGCUUAACACAUGCAAGUCGAACGGUAAGUCCCCAGCUUGCUGCGGUACACUAGUGGCGAACGGGGAAGUAACACGUGGGUUACCUGCCCCUCACUUCGGGAUAAGCUUGGGCAACUGGGUCUAAUACCGGAUAGGACCGCACCCCUAUGGUUGGGUGGGAAGUUGUUCGGUGUGGUAUUGGCCCGCGGCCUAUCCGCUUGGUGGUGGGGUAAUGGGCUAGCAAGGCGGCGACGGGUAGCAGGCCUGGGAGGGUGGACGGCCACAUUGGGACUGAGACACGGCACAGACUCCUCUGGGACGCGGCAGUGGGGAAUAUUGUACAAUGGGCGGAAGCCUGAUGCAGCGCAGCAGCGUGGGGGAUGACGGCAUUCGGGUUGUAAACUACUUUCCCCAUCGACGAAGGUUUUAUGACGGUAGCUGGAGAAGAAGCUCCGGCUAACUACGUG
rnacentral:rRNA from 1 species